rnacentral:ncRNA from 1 species
CUAGACCGCUAGGGGAGUGUUGCACUGAGAGUCCUGCCGCAAGGCCGGACGACCCUUAGAACCUGAUCCGGGUCAUUCCGGCGGAGGGAAGCGGCGAGAGGAAGCG